rnacentral:rRNA from 1 species
UACGAAGGGGGCUAGCGUUGCUCGGAAUCACUGGGCGUAAAGCGCACGUAGGCGGACUCUUAAGUCGGUGGUGAAAUCCUGGAGCUCAACUCUGGAACUGCCUUUGAUACUGGCGACCUAGAGUCCGGAAGAGGUUAGUGGAAUUCCCAGUGUAGAGGUGAAAUUCGUAGAUAUUGGGAAGAACACCAGUGGCGAAGGCGGCUAACUGGUCCGGUACUGACGCUGAGGUGCGAAAGCGUGGGGAGCAAACAGG